GCCUCCGUAGCUCAGCGGUAGAGCAUGAGAGAAAAUUUACGGUCUACGGCAAUGCCUACUGGUUACUAUUGUGCGGUGACCAUCUGAGUUUAAACAUUACACCUAAUGUAUCUUCAGGUUGUGGGCUUGGAUCCCACCGGAGGCU